rnacentral:rRNA from 1 species
AAGAAGGCCUAUUGGGUUGUAAACUGCUUUUAUCUGGGAAGAAAAGGCCCAUGCGUGGGACAUUGCCGGUACCAGAUGAAUAAGCACCGGCUAACUCCGUGCCAGCAGCCGCGGUAAUACAGAGGGUGCAAGCGUUGUCCGGAUUUAUUGGGUUUAAAGGGUGCGUAGGCGGCUAUUUAAGUCAGCGGUGAAAGACUCCGGCUCAACCGGAGCAGUGCCAUUGAUACUGGAUAGCUUGAGUGUUGGAGGGGUACAUGGAAUUGAUGGUGUAGCGGUGAAAUGCAUAGAUACCAUCAGGAACACCGAUAGCGAAGGCAUUGUACUGGCCAACAACUGACGCUGAGGCACGAAAGCAUGGGGAGCGAACAGGAUUAGAUACCCUGGUAGUCCAUGCCGUAAACGAUGAUUACUCGCUGUUAUGCUGUACAGUGUAGCGGCCAAGCGAAAGCGUUAAGUAAUCCACCUGGGGAGUACGCCGGCAACGGUG